rnacentral:pre_miRNA from 1 species
AAUAAGAUUAUUUUUGUUUUUUCGUAUCCAAUGUUUGACUAUUUAUUUUAUUUGAAAAUUUUUUAUAAUUAAUAUUUUUGUUCUUACUAGAUGAUAAAAUAUAAAUAGUACUUUAUGCUUGACUAAUUUUUUUAAGUUUUUAUAUAAAUUUUUCAAAUAAAAUGAAUGGUCAAACGUUGGAUAGAAAAAAC